CCGCGCUAGACGGGGAGGUAGCGGUGCCUUAUAACCUGCAAUCCGCUAUAGCAGGGUUUAAUUCCUGAGUUGAGGGCCUUAUCUUGUGGGGUCCGGCCAGGGUAAGUGGCGUUGAGGCUUGGGUCCUGCGCAACAGGACAUCCUGAAUCGUGUCAGGUCCGGGAGGAAGCAGCACUAAGGGAUUCCUCCUGUGUGCCGCAGGGGAGCCUGAGCGGAGCUAACUGCUCUGGUAACGCCCGGAAGGUAAGUUCGAUACCAGGUGCGCGG
rnacentral:SRP_RNA from 1 species